CGGGGGAGCAAGCGUUGUUCGGAUUUACUGGGCGUAAAGGGCGGGUAGGCGGCCACCGCAAGUCGACUGUGAAAUCUCCGGGCUUAACCCGGAAAGGUCAGCCGAUACUGCGGGGCUAGAGUGCAGAAGGGGCAACUGGAAUUCUCGGUGUAGCGGUGAAAUGCGUAGAUAUCGAGAGGAACACCUGCGGCGAAGGCGGGUUGCUGGGCUGACACUGACGCUGAACUGCGAAAGCUAGGGGAGCGAACGGGAUUAGAUACCCCGGUAGUCCUAGCCUUAAACGAUGAAUGCUUGGUGUCUGGGGUUUUAUAGUCCCCGGGUGCCGUCGCUAACGCUUUAAGCAUUCCGCCUGGGGAGUACGGUCGCAAGACUG
rnacentral:rRNA from 1 species